rnacentral:rRNA from 1 species
GAUGAACGCUGGCGGCGUGCCUAAUACAUGCAAGUUGAGCGAACGGACGAGAAGCUUGCUUUUCUGAUGUUAGCGGCGGACGGGUGAGUAACACGUGGAUAACCUACCUAUAAGACUGGGAUAACUUCGGGAAACCGGAGCUAAUACCGGAUAAUAUUUUGAACCGCAUGGUUCAAAAGUGAAAGACGGUCUUGCUGUCACUUAUAGAUGGAUCCGCGCUGCAUUAGCUAGUUGGUAAGGUAACGGCUUACCAAGGCAACGAUGCAUAGCCGACCUGAGAGGGUGAUCGGCCACACUGGAACUGAGACACGGUCCAGACUCCUACGGGAGGCAGCAGUAGGGAAUCUUCCGCAAUGGGCGAAAGCCUGACGGAGCAACGCCGCGUGAGUGAUGAAGGUCUUCGGAUCGUAAAACUCUGUUAUUAGGGAAGAACAUAUGUGUAAGUAACUGUGCACAUCUUGACGGUACCUAAUCAGAAAGCCACGGCUAACUACGUG